UACGGUAGGGGGCAAGCGUUGUCCGGAAUCAUUGGGCGUAAAAGAGCGUGUAGGCGGCUCGAUAAGUCUGCUGUGAAAGUCCAGGGCUCAACCCUGGAAGGCCGGUGGAAACUGUCGGGCUAGAGUCCGGAAGAGGGCGAGUGGAAUUCCCGGUGUAGCGGUGAAAUGCGCAGAUAUCAGGAGGAACACCGGUGGCGAAGGCGGAUCUCUGGGCCUUACCUGACGCUGAGGCGCGAAAGCUAGGGGAGCGAACAGG
rnacentral:rRNA from 1 species